rnacentral:ribozyme from 13 species
UCUUUCUCUCCCCUUUCUUUUCCCCUUCUUUUUCUCUUUUUAUUCUUUUACUCUUUUUUUUGAAAAAGAAAGAUUCUGGUUGUUGUUCUUUUGGAAUCUCUUUUCAAGACUCUGGAAGAGGAAAAUUGGCCAACUUAAAUAGUGUUUCAAUUUGUGAGAUGGAAUCCUUUUUUUGGUUUAAUUUUGCUGCUCUGAAUAAAAAAUUGAA